UAAUACGUAGGGGGCUAGCGUUGUCCGGAAUCAUUGGGCGUAAAGAGCGCGUAGGCGGCCAGAUAAGUCCGGUGUGAAAGUCACAGGCUCAACCUGUGAAUGCCGCUGGAAACUGUCUGGCUAGAGUCCGGAAGGGGCGAGUGGAAUUCCUGGUGUAGCGGUGAAAUGCGCAGAUAUCAGGAGGAACACCAAUGGCGAAGGCAGCUCGCUGGAACGGUACU
rnacentral:rRNA from 1 species